rnacentral:rRNA from 1 species
GACGAACGCUGGCGGCGUGCUUAACACAUGCAAGUCGAACGCUGAAGACCUGGCUUUUGUUGGGUUGGAUGAGUGGCGAACGGGUGAGUAACACGUGAGUAACCUGCCCUCUUCUUUGGGAUAACGCCCGGAAACGGGUGCUAAUACUGGAUAUUCACUGGCCUUCGCAUGGGGGUUGGUGGAAAGGUUUGUUCUGGUGGGGGAUGGGCUCGCGGCCUAUCAGCUUGUUGGUGGGGUGAUGGCCUACCAAGGCUUUGACGGGUAGCCGGCCUGAGAGGGUGACCGGUCACAUUGGGACGGAGAUACGGCCCAGACUCCUACGGGAGGCAGCAGUGGGGAAUAUUGCACAAUGGGCGAAAGCCUGAUGCAGCGACGCCGCGUGAGGGAUGGAGGCCUUCGGGUUGUAAACCUCUUUCGCUCAUGGUCAAGCCGCAACUGUGGGUUGUGGUGAGGGGAGUGGGUAAAGAAGCGCCGGCUAACUACGU